UACGUAGGGUGCAAGCGUUAAUCGGAAUUACUAGGCGUAAAGCGUGCGCAGGCGGCUUUGCAAGACAGAUGUGAAAUCCCCGGGCUCAACCUGGGAACUGCAUUUGUGACUGUAUAGCUAGAGUACGGUAGAGGGGGAUGGAAUUCCGCGUGUAGCAGUGAAAUGCGUAGAUAUGCGGAGGAACACCGAUGGCGAAGGCAAUCCCCUGGACCUGUACUGACGCUCAUGCACGAAAGCGUGGGGAGCAAACAGG
rnacentral:rRNA from 1 species